rnacentral:rRNA from 1 species
UACGGACGGGGCGAGCGUUGUUCGGAAUCAUUGGGCGUAAAGGGCGUGUAGGUGGUUCUGUAUGUCUACCGUGAAAGCGUACGGCUCAACCGUAUUUAGUCGGUAGAAACUGCAGGACUUGAGGCUGGGAGGGGCUGGUGGAAUUCCCCGUGUAGCGGUGAAAUGCGUAGAGAUGGGGGAGAACACUCGUGGCGAAGGCGGCCAGCUAGACCAGUUCUGACACUGAGGCGCGAUAGCGUGGGGAGCAAACAGG